rnacentral:rRNA from 1 species
AUUGAACGCUGGCGGCAGGCCUAACACAUGCAAGUCGAACGAGUGGCGGACGGGUGAGUAAGGUCUGGGAAACUGCCCGACGGAGGGGGAUAACUACUGGAAACGGUAGCUAAUACCGCAUACCAUCGGAUGUGCCCAGGUGGGAGUAGCUAGUCGGGGGGGUAACGGCUCACCUAGGCGACUAUCCCUAGCUGGUCUGAGAGGAUGACCAGCCACACUGGAACUGAGACACGGCCCAGACUCCUACGGGAGGCAGCAGUGGGGAAUAUUGGACAAUGGGCGCAAGCCUGACGCAGCAAUGCCGCGUGUAUGAAGAAGGCUUUCGGGUUGUAAAGUACUGUCAUCGGGGAGGCGUUACUCGAAGAGGAAGCACCGGCUAACUCCGUGCCAGCAGCCGCGGUAAUUC